GAUGAACGCUGGCGGCGUGCCUAAUACAUGCAAGUCGAGCGAACGGACGAGAAGCUUGCUUCUCUGAUGUUAGCGGCGGACGUGUGAGUAACACGUGGAUAACCUACCUAUAAGUCUUGGAUAACUUCGGGAAACCGGAUCUAAUACCGGAUAAUUUUUUGAACCGCAUGGUUCAAAAGUGAAAUACGGUCUUUCUUUCUCUUAUAGAUGGAUCCUCGCUGCAUUAUCUAGUUGGUAAGGUAACGGCUUACCAAGGCAACGAUGCAUAGCCGACGUGAGAGGGGGAUAGGACACACUGGAAGUGAGACACGGUAAAGACAACAACGGGAGGCAGCAGUAGGGAAUAGGACGAAAUGGGCGAAAGCAUGACGGAGCAAAGCCGAGUGAGUGAUGAAGGUCUUCGGAUCGUAAAACUAUGUUAUUAGGGAAGAAAAAAUGUGUAAGUAACUGUGCACAUAUUGACGGUACCUAAUCAGAAAGCAACGGCUAACUACGUG
rnacentral:rRNA from 1 species